AGGGUGAACCUGCGGAAGGAUCAUUAAGAAGACUUUUUUCUUCAAACCUGUGCUUAGAUAUGUGUGUUGCUUUGGUAAAGGUCCUUUUACCAGUAGCCCUCUGAAACUUCUUAAUUAACUGGUCUGAGAAUUUAAUGUUUAAUUAAAACACAACUUUCAACAACGGAUCUCUUGGUUCUGGCAUCGAUGAAGAACGCAGCGAAAUGCGAUAAGUAAUGCGAAUUGCAGAAUUCCGUGAGUCAUCGAAUUUUUGAACGCAUAUUGCACCUUUUGGUAUUCCGAAAGGUAUGCCUAUUUGAGCGUCAUUAUCAACCCUCAAACGAGAAUUAUUCUAGUUUGGCUCUUGAGGAAAAUAGUGAAACUAUCUCCUUGAAAUUGAAUGACGAUUGGUGAUUGAAGCCCAAUACAAUGAAAUCUUCCGUAUUGACGCCCGAUCUCUAGUAGUCCUAACCAUCGUUUAACGAUCAUUUUGUGGUUGACCUCAGAUUAGGUAGGAUUACCCGCUGAACUUAAGCAUAUCAAUAAGGCG
rnacentral:rRNA from 1 species